rnacentral:rRNA from 1 species
AACGUAGGGGGCGAGCGUUGCCCGGAUUCACUGGGCGUAAAGCGUGUGUAGGCGGUUCUUUAAGUCGGGUGUGAAAUCCUACGGCUCAACCGUGGAACUGCAUCCGAUACUGGGGAACUUGAGGACGGUAGAGGUCGGUGGAAUUCCAGGUGUACCGGUGAAAUGGGCAGAUAUCUGGAGGAACACCAGUGGCGAAGGCGGCCGACUGGGCCGAUCCUGACGCUGAGACCCGAAAGCCAGGGUAGCGAACCGG